rnacentral:lncRNA from 1 species
GUUAGUGAAAUAUAUCAAUUGAGUGUGCAAAUAGUGUAGUAAUUAGUAUUUCAUUUUAUCUCUACUCCAUUAGCUUAACGCAUAUCCGGUUUUCCAAUAACGGUUCGUUUUAGACUAAAAUUUUCCUCGGCUGCUUCCGCACUUAAAACAAUUUUUAAAACCAAUUUUCUUUUAAAUUGAUAGCGCCGACUCAAGUUUUUAAUUGGGAUCUAUU